AUGGCCUCCACUUGCUCCUUCGUCUUGGUGCUAGGCAUCAUGUGCUUCGGGCUGCUGGCCCUGCCGGCCUCAUCCGUUGGGGCCACUGCUGCAGGCGCCGCCGGUGCCACUACUGCCGGUGCCGCCGGUGCCUCCAUGCAGCUUCGAGAGGAUCUUCGCCUGAUGGAGAUCGCAGGCUGCUGCGACAUAUGUCAGGCAUGCCUUAUCGACACCUUCCAGGCGUGCUUUGAUUUCCGCCCCGCGAGGUUCGCUGCCUGCUUCAUCAAGUACAUAGUCAAAGAGAAGUGCAUCGGCAUGUAG
rnacentral:rRNA from 1 species